AGUGAACGCUGGCGGUAGGCCUAACACAUGCAAGUCGAACGGCAGCACAGUAAGAGCUUGCUCUUACGGGUGGCGAGUGGCGGACGGGUGAGGAAUACAUCGGAAUCUACUUUUUCGUGGGGGAUAACGUAGGGAAACUUACGCUAAUACCGCAUACUACCUACGGGUGAAAGCAGGAGAUCUUCGGACCUUUCGCGAUUGAAUGAGCCGAUGUCGGAUUAGCUAGUUGGCGAGGUAAAGGCCCACCAAGGCGACGAUCCGUAGCUGGUCUGAGAGGAUGAUCAGCCACACUGGAACUGAGACACGGUCCAGACUCCUACGGGAGGCAGCAGUGGGGAAUAUUGGACAAUGGGCGCAAGCCUGAUCCAGCCAUACCGCGUGGGUGAAGAAGGCCUUCGGAUUGUAAAGCCCUUUUGUUGGGAAAGAAAAGCAGCAGGUUAAUACCCCGCUGUUCUGACGGUACCCAAAGAAUAAGCACCGGCUAACUUCGUG
rnacentral:rRNA from 1 species